UACAGAGGGUGCAAACGUUGCUCGGAAUUAUUGGGCGUAAAGCGCGUGUAGGCGGCUUGUUAAGUUGGUCGUGAAAGCCCAUGGCUCAACCAUGGAAGUGCAACCAAAACUGGCAAGCUUGAGUGCUGAAGAGGAUGGCGGAAUUCCCAGUGUAGAGGUGAAAUUCGUAGAUAUUGGGAGGAACAUCGGUGGCGAAGGCGGCCAUCUGGGAAGCAACUGACGCUGAGACGCGAAAGCGUGGGUAGCAAACAGG
rnacentral:rRNA from 1 species